rnacentral:rRNA from 1 species
AGUGAACGCUGGCGGUAUGCCUAACACAUGCAAGUCGAACGGAAGCACAGUAAGAUCUUUCUCUUACGGUUGGCGACUGACGGGCGGGUGAGGAAUACAUCGGCUUCUACUUUUUCUGGGGGGAUAACGUGGGAACGGUUACGCUACUACAUCAUACUUUCUACGGCUGAGAUCAAGAGAGCAUCGCGGCUUUGCCGUCUGAUUUAGACGGUGUCGGGUUGCAUUAGCUAGUUGGUAAGGUAACGGCCUACCAAGGCUACGAUGCAUAGCCGAGCUGAGAGGGUGAUCGGCCACACUGGAACUGAGACACGGUCCAGACUCCUACGGGAGGCAGCAGUGGGGAAUAUUGGACAAUGGGCGCAAGCCUGAUCGAGCCAUGCCGCGUGAGUGAAGAAGGCCUUCGGGUUGUAAAGCCCUUUUGUUGGGAAAGAAAAUCAGCAUAUUAAUCCGCCGAUGUUCUGACGGUACCCAAAGAGUAAGCAACGGCUAACUUCGUG